GGCACGCCGCGUGCUCCGCGCUUCCGGUGCGGCGGGAGGGCGGCUGCGACAGGCUUCCCCGGCAACGGGAGGCGCGAGCUGCUUGCUCGGGCAGCAUGAAGCCCAGGCCUGCGGUGUUCGUAGACGGGAAGCUCAAGCAACGGGUCAUUCAGUACCUCACCAGUAACAGAUGUGGCAAAUAUGUAGACACUGGAAUCUUAGCCUCUGAUUUGCAAAGAAUGUACAGUGUAGAUUAUGGUCGAAGAAAAAGAAAUGCUUUUAGGAUUCAGGUAGAAAAAGUAUUUAGUAUAAUUAGCAGUGAGAAAGAACUUAAGAAUCUUAAAGAACUAGAAGAUGAACAUCUGGCAAAAAGAGCAAGACAAGAUGAAGAAGAUGAGUACACUGAAAGCUCUUCUGAUGAUGAUUCAAACAUGGACGAUUACCCAGAUCCACAGUCAGCAAAUCACAUGAACAGUUCCCUGCUCUCUUUGUAUCGGAAAGGAAACUCUGAAUCUGUUUCAACCACUCCGAAGCUAGAACAAAGAGAAGCUGCCACUUCAACACCGUUGCUGACUUCUAAAGUGGGCUCCAUGCCAGUGAAGACCCCUGCCCGCGAGUCUGAGGGAGGAUGGUUUAUUGACAAAACCUCAGGUGGAAAGAAAGAAAGUUUUACCUUGGACCUAUCAGAUGACCAAAGCAACUAUAAAAAGCCAGAUUUUGAGAUACAGAAUUUAAAAGAUUCUUCUCUUCUGGAAAGUGAUAAGAAAAGGAAAGGUAGGCCAAAGAGCAAAAGAAACAAAAGAAAGACAGAGGAUCUUCAAGAAGUAGAUGGAGAAAUACAAGCUGUUCUACAAAAGAAAGCUAAAGUAAGAAGUACAGAGUUGCAGAUUUCCAAUGUGAAGUUUGAAGAUAUUGGAGGCAAUGAUGCAACAUUAAAAGAAGUCUGCAAGAUGCUCAUACACAUGCGCCACCCAGAAGUGUACCAGCACCUUGGUGUCGUGGCCCCUCGCGGCGUUCUCCUGCAUGGGCCACCAGGCUGUGGGAAGACGUUACUUGCACAUGCAAUAGCUGGGGAACUCGACUUGCCGAUUUUGAAAGUGGCUGCUCCAGAGAUUGUGUCAGGAGUUUCUGGAGAGUCUGAGCAAAAGCUCAGAGAUUUAUUUGACCAAGCUGUGUCAAGUGCACCCUGUGUUGUUUUUAUUGAUGAAAUUGAUGCUAUUACUCCUAAACGAGAAGUUGCUUCCAAAGACAUGGAACGAAGAAUUGUAGCUCAGCUUCUAACGUGCAUGGAUGAUCUGAAUAACGUGGCAGCUACAGCUCGAGUCCUAGUUGUUGGAGCUACUAACCGACCAGACUCAUUGGACCCUGCUUUGAGACGUGCAGGAAGGUUUGACCGAGAAAUAUGCCUGGGCAUCCCAGAUGAAGCAUCCAGAGAAAGAAUUCUCCAGACGUUGUGCCGAAAACUGAGACUUCCAGAAACGUUUAAUUUUUGUCACCUAGCACACCUAACGCCAGGCUUUGUUGGUGCCGAUCUGAUGGCACUUUGCCGAGAGGCAGCUAUGUGUGCAGUCAAUAGGGUCUUGAUGACUCACCAAGAACAGCAGAAGAAAAAUGCUGAGAUUGAAGGUUCGCCCUCUGAAGGAGACCAGGAGAAAAGGCUGGGAGCUGAGCCCACUUCUGAAACACAAGAUGAAUUGCAGAGGCUGUUGGGGUUGCUAAGAGACCAAGAUCCCCUCUCAGAGGAACAGAUGCAAGGACUAUGCAUUGAAUUAAAUGAUUUCAUUGUUGCUCUAGCAGAAGUUCAGCCUUCUGCCAAAAGGGAAGGCUUUGUAACUGUCCCGAAUGUGACAUGGGCCGAUAUUGGUGCCCUGGAAGAUAUUAGAGAAGAGCUCAUAAUGGCAAUAUUGGCACCAGUACGCAACCCAGACCAGUUCAGGACUCUUGGUUUGGGGACUCCAGCUGGCAUCCUCCUAGCUGGUCCUCCUGGAUGUGGAAAAACUCUGUUAGCAAAGGCUGUGGCAAAUGAGUCUGGACUGAAUUUUAUAUCUGUCAAAGGCCCUGAAUUAUUAAAUAUGUAUGUUGGUGAGAGUGAACGUGCUGUGCGACAGGUUUUUCAGCGAGCCAAGAACUCGGCACCCUGUGUGAUAUUUUUUGAUGAAGUGGAUGCUUUAUGUCCUCGAAGAUCAGAUCGAGAAACAGGUGCUAGUGUCCGUGUGGUUAAUCAGCUGCUGACAGAGAUGGAUGGUUUGGAAACCCGUCAGCAAGUCUUUAUUUUGGCUGCUACUAAUAGGCCAGAUAUCAUUGACCCUGCCAUUUUGCGCCCAGGCCGACUAGACAAAACCCUCUUUGUGGGUUUGCCACCCCCAGCAGACCGUGUUGCCAUAUUAAAGACUAUCACAAAAAAUGGCACCAAACCUCCACUGGAUGAAGAUGUAGAUUUGGAAGCAAUUGCUAAUGACCUUCGUUGUAAUUGCUAUACGGGUGCAGACCUCUCUGCUUUGGUACGAGAAGCUUCUCUCUGUGCCCUGAGACAAGAAAUAAUGGGGCAGAAGAGUGGGAUUGGAACAGGUGAGCUCAAGGUCAGCCACAAGCACUUUGAAGAAGCUUUCAGGAAAGUAAAACCAUCCAUAUCAGUAAAGGAUCAAAUGAUGUAUGAAGCUCUGCAGAGGUCGCUCCGCCAGUGACAUCUGCAGUACUUGGCAUGGAGGUGUCUACUGCAUGGAACUCGCCAAGAACCACACUCUGGAGGGUCUACUUUCAGCUUGACACAGAUGACCUCAUUGUUUCUUGGAGACAGAGUUUCUCUGUGUAGCCCUAUCUGUCCUGAAACACACUCUGUAGACCAGGCUGCCCUCGAACUCCCAGAGAUUCGUCUGUCUCUGCCUCCUGAGUGCUGGGAUUGAAAGCAUGCGCCAUCAUUGCCUGGCAAAUUGAAUAUUUAUUAACUUUGAAGACUGAAUGGUAUUUUUUUUCUCUGUGUAGUAAAACAUCAAUCAAGAGAAAUAAUUCCAUUUCUAGCUCAAUCUGGCUCUGGGAGUUUUAGUCAGCAGGAAGAUACAAUACAGUAAAUGAAUCUAGCUUUCAGCGUUCCUGGCUAAGAUCCACCUAAGCACACUGCUCUGGGCCUUAAGCACACUUACAACAAGCUUGGUAAAACUGACCUGAGUUAAAAGUUCAGUACUUUAUAUGUUUUCUUAAUUCUUGACCUCUGUUUGGAAAAAGCUGUACUGUUUUCAAUAUAUUGGCAUCCCACCACUCUGUCUCAAUAUGCAGGGUAAACUGCCUGUGUUUACCCUGCAUUGAAUGAAUGAGUUGAAUGGAGAAGCCUCCCUUUUAAUACAGUAACAAUCAACAUUCAUGCUCUCUCCAUCACUCUCUCCCAGACAGAAAACGAACCCAGAGCCUUAUACAUGCCAAGCACACACACUACUGCUGAGGACCAGAUUCGAAAAGUUAGAGUAGGUAACCUGGGGAGGUAUGCGUAGAGUCAGCGACUGAUCACUUGGCAGAUUUUUUUCUAAGGGUAAAAAGCUUGAUUUUCCAGGACAGACCUGAUUGUUACCAAUGGGGGCUCCAACUGAUGGUGUCAAGUGUAGGCCAGCACUGAUUGUGGCAGUUCUGAGGACCAGAGCUGGUGGCUCCUGGUGGGGCCAGAGCUGAUGGUUCCUGACAAGGGCUGCUACUGAUGGUAGCAAGCAACUAGGGAAAAGGAAAGGAGGAAAAAAAGAGACUGUACGCUUAACUAUUACUGGUCAAGCUCUUAAAAAUAAAUGACCACAACUGGCACAGUGGCUGAAUAUUUAGCCAUGGAUAGAAUAAAAUGAUCACACAUCUUUAUCAUUUCUUCCAACUCAGGAAAAAUCAUGGAAGAAAGGUAUUGCAAAGAGUAUAAGAGACAGGAUAAGGGAGAGAAGGUUGUGAAACUAUUUCCUCUGAAACAUUUCUCCAUACAGGGAAGCUCAUUAAGACUCAGAAAGUCAACAGAACCUUUAAAGCUUAGGAAAUAACUCAAGUCUCAGGAGGUUCCUAAAACAUACAGGAUUUACAAGACCCCACUACAAGUUUGUUUAGCAAUUUCAACUGCUCUGGAGAGAAGACUUUCUGAUGUACUAAGAUAUUUGUAAAUUGUGCAGGGAGCUACAAGGAUCCAAUUUUCACAAGUCAUCACCCAUGCUGGGGUGUAGCUGAUGUUGAUCCAUCCAUGCUCCUGCUAGUAACCCCAAUAUAGCUACUGGUUCAGUGAACUAAGCUUGGAUGGAAUUGUUUUCUUAGUCUUUCAUUACUGCUAUAUCUUGUUGGAAAGAGAUGUUUGUUUAUAUCUCCCCAGGAAAAGUCAUAUAGCAUCAAAAUUUUUGAUUGAGUUUCAUAUAUUAAGCAUAAUAUUCUUGGGAUACCAACAUAUAGAUGUUUGUUAUUGUAUUCUUCUGCCUCCACCUCUGGGUUGUGGGAUUACACAUGUGCCUUGUUUAAUGCCACACUAGACCCUGGUCCCUGGGCUUCCUGCAUGCUAAGCAAAUACACCAAGAUUGCUUCUAUCCCAGCCCACCAGAACGUGUCUCCAAACUAACUUUUCCUAGUCACCCACAUUAUACAGUUAAUUCUUCUUACAACCCAAAGGGCCGAGAGCCAGUAAUGUCUUCACUUCUUAAUGAAGAAACUAAAAUAGAGAAAGAGUGGAUAUGAGCAAAGUUCCACAGUUGACAAGGCACAGGGGAAGAAUUUGUACUGAGGCACUCUGCCUCCAAAGCACAUCAUCUUAAGCAUGUGACAUUUGGUGUCACUUUUAUUGACUGUACUUAGUAUUACUAAAAAUAAUCUUAAGUGUUUCAGUGACCCUUUGUCCAAAUAAUAAAAUUGCUUUGAGAGUGUCUUGUACAAAAAAAAAAAAAAAAAAAAAAAAAUGUGUGAGCCUGGACUGGAGAGAUGGCUCAGCCAUUAAGAGCACUGGUUGUUCUUCUAGAAGACACAGGUUUGAUCCCAGCACCCAUGUGGUGGCUCACAACUGUCUGUAUCUCCAAUUACAAGAAAUCCAGUAGCUUCUUCUGACCUCUGUGGGUACAAUGCACAUAAGUGGUGCACAAACAUACAUGCGGGCAAAACAAACAACACAUUAAAAAAAAGUGUAUCUGAGCUAUUCCUUGGCAUUCUCAACUAACCAUGCUUUGAGGUUUUUCUUUUCCUUCAAAAGAAGUCAUCAAGAACUCAGCAUCAUUUGGUUGAAUGCUUGAUGCUGGUAGUUGUCAUCUUCUGGUUAAAUCUCUGCCUCCUUGAGGUGUUGUCUGUGGCUGUCUUGGUUCUUUCCCACUGUCUUCAGUUGCUCCAGGGCUUGGGGAACCUACCAGGCUGUCAUCUCAAAACAACAGCAAGUGUGACUGAGACAACGUGAUCUUUUUUAUUGUUCUUGGAUCUUGUCUGUGACUCAAUGGCAGACUUCCUGAAAGGUAGGGAGUGUGUGAACAACUCAGACAGAACCCACUCUCAAGCCCUUUAUGCUGGAACAACCAGCCACAUCCGCCACAGAAUGCCUUCAGCUUUGAUGGUGUGGUUUUUGCUGGUGGUGGAACCCAGGGCCUUCCCAGUACAUGCUGCUAUCACUGGGCUACAUGGAGUUCCAGGAGCAGGUUCUGCCGAAGGACGUGGAGGUUAUUUCUGGCCCCUGGGAACUCUUCUUUGCUGUUGUUUCCCUUGUUCUCUCUGGUAAGCCAGCAGUACAUGGUUUAUCCUGUUGCUUUCAAGGUGCUGCCAGCCUCCUGGUAGCUGCUAACCACCAGUGCCACUUGUUUUCACAAGAAUUCUCAGCCUUGAAAUCCCCCAUGAUCUCUUUUGCAGGGAGUUCAUUCUUCUGAAGAAUUUUCCGUUACCUGCUUCUCGCCAUUAGAAAAAUUCUAAUAACUGUCUGUGUCCAAGUUCUUCCCUUCAAAGAACACCCUGCUUUACAAGCUGGCUAUGAGGCUGGCUUGGAUGCUUUUGGCUUCUUAUCUCUCCUUUCCAUUGUAAGACAUUCAUUCUACAACCAAAGGGGGUGAGAUUCAGAGCCUACCCAACUGCUGCCAGCCUUCACAGAGUCAGGCGAAGGAGGGUGAAUGGAUCCCCGGACUGCGUAGCUUCAUACUUUCUUCUAACCUUUGCAGGCACCAGCCACACAGCCGUUGCACUUUUUUUUUCUUCUUCUUUAAAAUGUAUCACUAAGGAUUGGAGAGAUGGCUCAGCAGUUGAAAGCACUGGUUACUCUUCCAGAGGACCUGGUUCAUUUCCCAGCACCCACAUGGUAGGUCACUGUAGUGACAACUCCAGUCCCAGGGGAUCUGAUGUCUCCUUGGACCCUGCAUGGACAUACUUUCAGGCAAACACUCAUGCAUACAAACUAUAAAUAAAAUCUCCAAAUUAAAGCAUUUUCACUGCUUUGAAAAUUAGCAUGUGUAAAUAGCAUAUAUACGCAGAAAAAUACAUAUAUACAUUAAAAAGUAAAAUAAUGAUAAUGCCUGGGUGUGCUGCUUAGAGGAAGUUUGUAUGUGUUGCAUCAUGAAUUAUUCCGCAUCAGCUAAACUGUUGAUAUUACACUUCUUUGUUAGAUUUAUUUCUAGAUCUAUUUUAAAGUUUUAUAAAUGGUUUUAAAGAUUAUUUACUUAUUAUGUAUACAGUAUUCUGCCUGCAUGCCAGAAGAGGGCACCAGAUCUCAUUAGAGAUGGUCAUGAGCCACCAUGCGGUUACUGGAAAUUGAACUCAGGAUCUCUGGAAGAACAGCCAGUGCUCUUAACCUUUGAACCAUCUCUCCAGCCCUAAAUGUUAUUUUUCUAUUCAUGUAUUUCUAUUUUUCAUUUCUCACUUGAUAGUAUGUGAAAAUACCAGAACGCUUUGUAUAAUGGUUUUCAACACAGCAAUCUUGCAAAAAUUUCUCAUUUGAUUCUGACAAGUCAGCUCUCUUGGUAUUUGUAAACAGAUGCUUCCAAAAAGCGUUAAGUCUUACUAACCUCCCACCCCCACCAAAAUUUCUUUUUAAGUUGUCUUAUGCUUUCCUCUUUUACUCUGCUGUUUUCUGCCAAUACUGAAUUCCAGAAGGCAUGAUUGGCUCCUCGGCUUUCUGGGGAUAAUCACUCUUGCAGAGGCUCUUGCUGUAGUAUGGCACUAGCGUAGUAGAUUCGAAAUGAAGAUGUAAGCUGUCCAAGCUGCUCAGCUUGAGGACAAACCAUCUUUCAUGCAGCUCUUCACAGUAAGCAGCUCAGCUGAGGGGCAUCUCUCCAACCAUAGAGGCCCAGCAUCCCGGGAAGGCUGUGCAGCAGAAGAAGCUGGGGCAGGAGGAGGCAGUCUGGUACAUAGAUGCUGAGACUUGAGAGCUCGUGGAAUGUAAGAUGUGAGCAGUAAAUGCACGUGAUCCCCUCAGCACCGCGCAGGAGCAGCUGCCCUGAAGGAGGCUAGAGAAGCAAGGACAAACAGGCAAGGUGGUGUUUCCGAAACAACACUAAGGCUUCUCUAGUUGCAGACAAUUUUGGAAGAUACAAUUUUGGAAGUGUCUUAAUGGAAAAUUCAUGUAUGCUAAUUUUCUAAGGCAGUGCUAAGUUAUAAAAAAUAGAGAGUUUAUUUAUUUUUAUUUUAUGUGUAUGAGUGUUUGCCUGAAUGUAUGUCUGUGUACCACAUGCAUGCGGUGCCCAAAGAGGCAUCAGAACUCCUUGGAAUGGAGUGAUGGAUGGUGAGCCACCAGAUGGGUGCUGGGAAAUAGAGCCAGGUCCUCUGGAAGAGCAGCCAGUGCUCUUAGCUGAUGAGCCAUCUCUCCAGGCCCAGUGAUACAUUUUAAAAGAAGUAAGCUAUUUAUUGAGGAAUAAUUACUUAUUGGAUGCUAUUUCCAGAAAUACAGAGCAAAAAUUAUUGCAAAUCAGUUUGGUUGAAGCAAAAAGGAAUGUUUAUAGGAAAUGCCCUCUACAAAUAUUAUUACUAAAGCUUCCCAUAGGCCAGCACUUCUCAAUGCUGUUAUUAGUUUUAGUUGCAUGUGUGUGCCUCAGGUGUCUUCUUCAGUUGUUGCCCACCAUAUUUUUUGAGGCAGGGUCUCUCUCUGCACCUUGAGCUUGCUGAUAAGGCUAGCCUGUUUCAGCAGUGGCUCCAGGGACCCUCCUGUCUCUGCCUCCCAGAGAGCUAUUCCAGGAGCCAUCUCUCCAGCCCCCAGUGAUACAUUUUAAAAGAAGUAAGAGAAGCUAUUUAUUGGGCAAUAAUUACUUAUUGGAUGCUAUUUCCAGAAAUACAGAGCAAAAAGUAUUGAGAUUCAGUCUGGAUGUCGCAAAAAAGGAAUGUUUAUAGAAAUGCCCUCUACAAAUAUUAUUACUAAAGCUUCCCAUAGGCCAGCACUUCUCAAUGCCGUUAUUAGCUUGAAUCAUUUUUUUAGCUGAAUCGUCUUAUAGUUGAAUCAUUUUUUAAAUUAUCAUUUAAAAAGUUGCCAAUCUAUUGUGUGAGUUUUCCUGGGGAUCACCUCAAACAGAACAUCAAUGACAGAGCAAAGAAGCAACUCCACAUGUCUUGGUAAACUAGUAUGUUUGUUGGGGUUCCUUAUAGGAAUGUAGUUAAAGGUUAUUUACAAGAAUGUGGGUGGCUGCCUCAGCCAGCAUGGGUGAUGAUAAGAAAUGCUGCAUCCACUAGGCUCUCUGCAGACCUUGCAGGCAGCGUACCACGUGAGAACACAACUCUGACUCCAGGGUAUGAGGGGUGAUCUGUGCUGUCUGGGAGGACACACAAAACCAUGGUGCCGGCUCCAGGUCCUGUGGCUCAGGUAUGCCAAAAUAAAGCAUGGGCAGCUGCUCUCAGAUGGGCAGUGUACAGCAAGAGCCCUAAGCUCAGACACCUGGGUAGCCCAGCAGUGGACUAGUGGAUGCUAGCCAGGCAGGCAGGCUCUCUGGGGUGUGCUGAACUCUCACGCAGCUGACGAAGGAAACGGAGUUUAGUUGAGAGGGUUCUGAAAUAACAAAAACAGAGAUGUUUUUUGGUGAGGUCUCCAGAAGAAUCCACAGAAAGAAAUACCUCCGGGAAGUGCUUGGAAACUGCUAGAGUGGUAGGAAGUACUGGUGCAUUCCUGUAAUACUGGUACUUAGGACACAGAAGCAGUGAUGCUGCUCCCUCCAUACAUGCAUACAUGCAUACAUACAAUGCAUCUCUGUCAAGGGUGUUUUGCAAAAACAGUUUUAUUUAACAAGGGAACAUAGCAUUUGGAUUAACAUUUGGAAAUUAGUUCAUAGUAAUGCCUCCAAAACUGUGUUUUUACCAGUGUCAUGGAAUAAAGGUAUGUUAAUUGAA